CGGAGCUUGCGGUGAGCAGAGAUCGCGCCACUGCACUCCAGCCUAGGCCACAGAGCGAGACUCCGUCUCAAAAAAAUAAAAGGAUCAUUCAGGUAAAGCAGAUAAGAAUCACCAAUACCUUGAGGUGGAAGCACGCCUGACAUGGUUGAGAAACAACAGAGAAGCCGGCGUCCUGAGUGCGUUUCCAUAGUAAUGAUCAAAUCAAAGAAAUAUAGAAAACACCUAACAUUGCUGGAAACUGAAGAGGUGUUCAACUCAUUUAUCCGACCUUGAAGCCAGUAGAGUGCAGGAGACAUCUGAGUGUUGUCAAGGAUCAACAAAUCUGGAUACUAGUUAAUGUGACGAAAUUUCGCUCUUGUUGCCCAGGCUGGUGUGCAAAUGGCACGAUCUCGGCUCACCACAACCUCCGCCUCCCGGGUUCAAGCGAUUCUCCUGCCUCAGCCUCCUGAAUGCCGUGAACCUAGCAAUGAGUGAGGAAAAGGAAUCUUUCACCCCUACAAAGGGAUACCAUGGAAUUUCUCAAACAGUGAAUACAUUGGCUCCAGGAAAAAGGGUCGACCUCUUAAAUAGAAAUAGAGAACUAGAGAACAAUAAUGAGGGGAGUACCUUGCAGUCAGUAAUAAGAAGCUGUCUUUACUAUCAAAUCAGACCUCCAGUGGGAGAGUUUUUCCCUAUAGUGACUUUGACUGUCACCCUGUGUUUAAUCACAAUCCUAUGAAAACAGUUAACUCUCUAAGUGGUCAAAGAAAUUUUUCAAUAAACAUAAACUUUAGUCUAA